rnacentral:ncRNA from 1 species
CACCGUUGGUUGGGGUGUCUGGGACUAAGAAGCCUGACCGGGAACAGAGUGCUCGGGCAACUUCCUGAACGUCCCAGACUGAGAGAGACCCAUUGAACCUGAACCAGAUUAUACUGGCGUAGGAAACCGACGGUUGGGCGAG